rnacentral:rRNA from 1 species
AUGCAAAUUAGAGUCCAAAACAAGAGGAAAAGCGUUAGGAAAAGUAGAUACAUUGGAGACGUAUCAAAGUCCUUCCCCAACAAGAACAACUUCACCAAGAAGCCUCCUCCUAAGGGGUUGGUGGCACAAGAAGAGUACAAUGAGGAUGAUGAUGAUGACGAUGAAGACGGUGAUACGGUUGCCAUGGCCUCCGUUGCCAUUGCAACAACUCCACGGGUGUCCCUCUUCGACUCACCCAACGAGAACAUCACCGCCAAGUGCCUCAUGGCCAAAGCCACCAACAAGGUAACCCCCAACAUCAAAACCACCAUCACUACUAAUCCCUCUUUGACGGAUUGCAUUGAUGAAAGUGAGGGGUCUAAUGAGGAAGAAAAUGAAUUUGAGUCUUUUAUGAGUAAGCUCAAGGGUAAAUCCAAGAAGCACUUUGUUGCUCUCUUGGAACAACUUGGUGAAGCCAAUGACAUUAUCGAGGCUCACGAAGACACCAUCUCUAAGAUGGAGGGGCAUAGUCGUGACUAUGCCGAUGAGAUAUCGGAUCUCUCUAAUGCGCUUGAGGAAGAGCGUGGUCAUCGUUUGGCUCUUGAGGAGUCACACAACGAUGAUCAUGCAAAAUGA